rnacentral:rRNA from 1 species
AUUGAACGCUGGCGGCACGCCUAACACAUGCAAGUCGAACGAGUAGCGGACGGGUGAGUAAUGUCUGGGAAACUGCCUGAUGGAGGGGGAUAAAUACUGGAAAAGGUAGCUAAUACCGCAUACCUACGAAUGUGCCCAGAGGGGAUUAGCUAGUAGGUGGAGUAAAGGCUCAACUAGGCGACGAUCCAGAGCUGGUCUGAGAGGAUGACCAGCCACACUGUAACUGAUACACGGUCCAGACUCCUACGUGAGGCAGCAGUGGGGAAUAUUGCACAAUUGGCGCAAGCCUGAUGCAGCCAUGCCGCGUGUAUGAAGAAGGCCUUCGGGUUUUAAAGUACUUUCAGCGGGGAGGCGUUACCCGCAGAAGAAGCACCGGCUAACUCCGUGCCAGCCGCCGCGGUAAUUC